GACGCCUGGUACGGGGGUGCUGCGGCGUUCGAGGCGCCGGGUGCCGGGCGCACGGGCGGUUCGAUGCAGGCGGCCGUCG
rnacentral:tRNA from 1 species